GUGGGGAAUCUUGCGCAAUGGGCGAAAGCCUGACGCAGCCAUGCCGCGUGGAUGAUGAAGGUCUUAGGAUUGUAAAAUCCUUUCACCGGGGACGAUAAUGACGGUACCCGGAGAAGAAGCCCCGGCUAACUUCGUGCCAGCAGCCGCGGUAAUACGAAGGGGGCUAGCGUUGCUCGGAAUUACUGGGCGUAAAGGGCGCGUAGGCGGACAGUUAAGUUGGGGGUGAAAGCCCGGGGCUCAACCUCGGAAUUGCCUUCAAUACUGGCUGUCUUGAGUACGGGAGAGGUGAGUGGAACUCCGAGUGUAGAGGUGAAAUUCGUAGAUAUUCGGAAGAACACCAGUGGCGAAGGCGACUCACUGGCCCGUUACUGACGCUGAGGCGCGAAAGCGUGGGGAGCAAACAGGAUUAGAAACCCCGGUAGUCC
rnacentral:rRNA from 1 species